AUUGAACGCUGGCGGCAUGCCUUACACAUGCAAGUCGAACGGCAGCACGGGAGCAAUCCUGGUGGCGAGUGGCGGACGGGUGAGUAAUAUAUCGGAACGUGCCCAGUCGUGGGGAUAACGUAGCGAAAGCUACGCUAAUACCGCAUACGAUCUAUGGAUGAAAGCGGGGGAUCGCAAGACCUCGCGCGAUUGGAGCGGCCGAUAUCAGAUUAGGUAGUUGGUGAGGUAAAGGCUCACCAAGCCGACGAUCUGUAGCUGGUCUGAGAGGACGACCAGCCACACUGGGACUGAGACACGGCCCAGACUCCUACGGGAGGCAGCAGUGGGGAAUUUUGGACAAUGGGCGCAAGCCUGAUCCGA
rnacentral:rRNA from 1 species